AUACGUAGGGGACGAGCGUUGUCCGGAAUGAUUGGGCGUAAAGGGCGCGUAGGCGGCCCGGUAAGUCUGGAGUGAAAGUCCUGCUUUUAAGGUGGGAAUUGCUUUGGAUACUGUCGGGCUUGAGUGCAGGAGAGGUAAGUGGAAUUCCCAGUGUAGCGGUGAAAUGCGUAGAGAUUGGGAGGAACACCAGUGGCGAAGGCGACUUACUGUACUGUAACUGACGCUGAGGCGCGAAAGUGUGGGGAGCAAACAGGAUUAGAUACCCUGGUAGUCCACACUGUAAACGAUGAAUGCUAGGUGUAGGGGGUAUCGACCCCUUCUGUGCCGCAGUUAACACAAUAAGCAUUCCGCCUGGGGAGUACGGCCGCAAGGUUGAAACUCAAAGGAAUUGACGGGG
rnacentral:rRNA from 1 species